GUAACAACGAGCUGUGAGAAGUCAGCAGAGGCCGUAGUAGGCAAAGUCCUGAAAUGGACGUUGCUGAAGGGC
rnacentral:ncRNA from 1 species